AAGUAUGUUAAAGUUUAUUGCAAUGAACGUGGAUGAGAGUUUAGUAUUAGGCCAUUGCAUUAAUGUCUCUCAUAUUUAAUGCUGCUAAAUCUCUUUAAAGGUUCUCAGAUUAUUCCUUUGCAAGGGUUAUUAAGUUGUUAUCUAUCAAUAUGAUGGUCUUAUUAGAACUCUUUCGAAACUUAAAAAACCAAGUGGAAUAGUUGUUGGAGAAGAAUAUGUCAAAUGUUGCUUCUUUUUUUUUUUUUAUCAAAGGUGUCAAGAAUUUUUAUUCAAGAGCAGUUUAAAUGCUAUUAUUAACUUACAAUACUAC
rnacentral:lncRNA from 1 species